UACGGCUACAUCACGUUGAAACCCCGAUUCCUGUACGAUCACCGAAGUUAACCAACAUUAAGCCUGGUCAGUGCCUAGAAGGGUGACCACUUGGGAAUAUAAGGUGCUGUAAG